rnacentral:rRNA from 1 species
AUGCGAGUAAAACAGUCUAAAUCAAUGGUUCCAAAAUGUUACGGACAGACAGCUCUGAUUCCUCGUCAGGCGGCAACUUCUCCAGCUCCAAAUCUUAAAACGGCAAGACACAUGACGACUAAGAGGCGAUUUGCUCGUCAUCCUCAUGACGCAGCGCAGGCCCUCCCCCUUGAGCAUGAGGUCGAACGCCAUGUUGAUCUGGGAGAAGGGCACGCUGUGCGUGAUGAACUUUUCCAGCUCCAGCUCCUUCCUCAUGUACAUCUCGACGACUUCCCGGUGGUCGGUGUGUGGUUUGUAGUUGCCGAAGGUGCCCUUCAGGGUCCUUUCAUUGACGAAGUUCAUCGGGUGGAACACCGCCUCCUUGUGCGGGACACCCACCAGCACCGCCACGCCCCACCCCUGCAUCCACCAGAUUUCAACAUUCAGUCUGAAGUCUAA